rnacentral:rRNA from 1 species
CGUAGGUGGCAAGCGUUGUCCGGAAUUAUUGGGCGUAAAGCGCGCGCAGGCGGUCCUUUAAGUCUGAUGUGAAAGCCCACGGCUCAACCGUGGAGGGUCAUUGGAAACUGGGGGACUUGAGUGCAGAAGAGGAGAGCGGAAUUCCACGUGUAGCGGUGAAAUGCGUAGAGAUGUGGAGGAACACCAGUGGCGAAGGCGGCUCUCUGGUCUGUAACUGACGCUGAGGCGCGAAAGCGUGGGGAGCGAACAGGAUUAGAUACCCUGGUAGUCCACGCCGUAAACGAUGAGUGCUAAGUGUUAGAGGGUUUCCGCCCUUUAGUGCUGCAGCAAACGCAUUAAGCACUCCGCCUGGGGAGUACGGCCGCAAGGCUG